CCUUUUGCCCUUAAUUGUUCUGCGCAGUAACAUUCUCUCCAGGCACUUUUUACCAUAUUACUGCGAAGGGAGUCCCGCAAAAGAAAAUUCACUCAAUGAGAAUUUUUCAGAUAAAAAUCAAUACAAAUUCAAUUUUAACUUUAUCUUGAGAAAGUAUCACGACGUGGACAGGCACUACAUGAAAAUGAUAAAGCAUUUCCUUUUCUUUUUUUUCCUUUUAAAAUUAUAAUAUAUAGCUCUAUAGCUAUAUAGUGCGUUACUAUGUGAAUACAGCGUUGUAUGCAAUAGUUGUCCCAUGUUACAUCAAGUUUUACAUGAGAGAAAAAUCUUUUAUUUAUUAAGGUUUUAGGUCAGUUUUUAUAAGACCGACUUAAAAAUUCAUAGUUAGAUUAAAAAAAAACUGACCUAAAACGUUAAGACCGACUUAAAAAUUCUAAGUCAGAUUUUAAAAGUCUUAAAGUCUAAAGUAUUUUUUAAGUUUAAAAAAAAGGUUUUAGUUUUAGGUUUUAAGUUUUAGGUUUAGGUUUUAAGUCAGUUUUUUGAAGUCUGACUUAAAAUAUUUAAGUCGGUCUAAUAAAUCUGACUUAAAACCGUAAGGCCGACUUAAGAACUGACUGAGUAGUGAAUUCCACCCUAAAUCUUUUGAGCUUUAGAAUACAACAAGAAUAUAAUCAAAAGGUCAGCAAAAGGUAAAAUGUUCUGAAAAGAACAAAAUCAUUUAGAAAGAAAUCUGUGAACAAAAUAGCAAACCAAAAAAACUAAAAAAAAUCGUUAAAUAUCUUUCCAUUUUCCACACUCAGAUGGAAAAACUCGAAGGAUAUUUUAUUGAGAAAUGUAAUACUUAAAUUGCUUUAUCAUUAUGUUUCUUCCGAUACAUGAAACAUAAAAUUAUCUCAUUAAAAAUUAACUGCGAAACAUCUGCGCGAAUGUUUCAUGCAUUGACAGAUACGACAAAUACACACUGAUGAUGUCAUUGUUUGCAUUUUUAAACAUAUUUUUAGUAAAAUUUAUAAGUGGAGAAACUUCUCCAAGAAAAAAAUCAUUAAAUGUCUUUUAUUACUCGUUUAUUACCAGAAAUCUCGUGAAAAUAUUGUAUGAAGUUUUAAAAAAAGAUGAAAAAGAGAUUUCAUUCAAUUAAAUAAAUUAAAGAAAAACAAGCAAUAAAGAGAAAUAGCAGAGAGAUGUUAAAAAGGAAAAAAAAUGCUCAUAAAAAGAAAAUCAUUCAUGAGAUUUGAACUCAAGAUGUUAAGGAAAAAAGAACACUCUCUUAACGAUUGUACCACCAAUUUCUUUAAGCAUUUUCAUGUGUAGUGUAAUUCAUUUAAACACUUCAAAAUCAUUAAUUUAGAGUUUUAUUUUAAUGGUACCUACCAGGAAUAAAAAAUAAAUAAAUAAAAUCUUUAGAAAAUUUUUAAAUGUAAAUGAAAUUAUUACAAAAAAAUAAAUUUUUUCCUUGCGGGACAGUUAUUUUGGAGAUCUCUGUUGAAAUAAAUUACUUUCAAGAAUUUUUUUUGUUUAAAGCAAGAUUUUGCGCUGUGCGCAAACUUAAAAGAAAACACAAUUAAUGUAGAAAAAGAAAAUAAAAAUUAAGCUCUGGUUGUAAAAGAUGACAAAAAUAGCAUAACUGUGAAGAAUUUAAUGAGAAAUUCUAACUUUAAUUUGAGUUUAAUGACAUGCUUCUUCUAUGUGGUUUUUAUAAUACAAAUUAUAUUUCUCAUUUACUCAACAUUCCCAAGUGGAGCCUUGUUUUGCAAGAUCCCAUUGUAAUUAAAAUAGAGAGAAAAAAUGUAAUAAAUUAACGUUUUAAAUCCUCAUUUUAUGAGGGCGUUGUUUUGUUGUUUUUUUUUAUUAGUCUAGUAUUAGUUGAAAAGUUUCUUUUCUUUUACAAUUCUAGUUCAAUAAAUUGAAAAAAUUAAUGAUUCUCGAAACAAAAUUCUUAAACCAGGUUUUAAGAUUUUUUUCCAUGGAAGAUGAGUCAUAAAUAUAUUAGGUUGAAGGUUUGUUAUUUUUUCUCCAAAAGGAUUAUAUUUCACACAAACAUAGCAAAAAAAUCAUAAUCUUUCUGUUGAACCUGCAAUAUAUUUUUUUUAUAAAUAAUUCUUGGAAAAAUUUAUUUUCUAUAGUUUCUGCUAUUUCUCUGUUUUCUGUUUUUUUUAUAGUUUAAUAAAAAAAACUCCCAAGGCAAUCACUAAAAAUAUCCACCUCGAAAAGAAAAAAAGAAAAAAAAAGUAUGGUGAUAAAUUCUACGCUUAUGAACAAAUUUUUAGUCUCUUUUGCUGAUUAUAUUGCCCAUGAACCCAUAUAAAAUGAUCUUUUGUGCGUCACUCUCAUAGGCAAUUUUCAUUUUAAAGAGAGAGAUGAAAAAAAAUCCGCACACAUGUGUAAAAGAAGAAAAAAAAUUAAUUGAGAAACAUCCUUAUUUGCUUUAAUAGUACUUUGUGAUGGGGCUCAUGAAAAAAUUAUAUAUAACGCGAGGAAUAGAAAAUUUUUAGAGAGAAAUAGAAUGCAAAAUCGCAAAAUCGUGAUUACAAUGGUGAAAAAAAAGAAAGAAUAAUAAAUAAAAAAAAAGAAGUAUAUGUAGGCAAUUUUCAAUAUAUAAUUCUCCGUUUUAUGGGUAAAAGAGGCAAAAAAAAGAGAAAGAAAACAACCGGAGAGACUCCAUGAUUAUAAACUUCUUGAAAAACGAAGCACAAAGUGUGUGGCUUUUGUAAAAAAAAAAAGAAUUGAACAAAGAAUAGAGAGUGGAGGAUAAGGAAAAAUGUUUUUUAUUUAUUCUUCGUUUUUUUUUUUUCAUUGUGGCAUAAAAAAGAAAUAUUCAUUUUGUAUAGAGUGUGUUGUAGGGUAUAAAGUAUAGAAGAAGACGCGCUUGGGCUUUGUUUCUCGCGUAAAGGUAAUACACGGAGUUUAAUGUUCUAAAAAUAAAAUUUACAUGAAAAUGCUUUAUUUUUUCACAUUUUGUUGUAGUUGAAAUAAGUCUUCAAUAUAUUUUUUUCUCUUCACAAGGAUGAGUGUGUAUAUUUUAAAAGUAGGUACAUGCACUGAAUGUUAUUUAAAAAUAUUUAUAUAACAUGCAUGUGUUUUUUAUAUAGAUUUAUGUAUUAGUAUUAAAAUAUAUAUUUAUAUUAAAUAUAAGACACAAUGAUGAAAAAAAAGAAUAAAAGUUAGAUAGAUAUUUGAAAAAUCAUUGUUUAUUGCUUUUGUCACAGGACAGUGGCGUAGUCAGGGAGGGUGUUUGAGAACCUCUAAAACACACUUAAAUGUCAGGAAGUUCAGGGUUUCCUUUAAAGGUGAAAAGGAAUUAUUUUUAGGCUAAAAAUUGUAUUAAAAAAAACUUUAGAAAUGGGACUAAACGGGUUAAAGGGAACAUCAAACGUUUGAAGAGAAACGUCAGAUUUUUGAAAACAAACGUCAAAUGGUUGAAAACAAACGUCAAAUGUUUACAAAUAAAAUUCAUACGUCAAAACAAAACACCAAACAUUUUAAAAGAUACGUCAAACGUUUGGAAAAAAAACCUCAAAUAUUAACAAAGAAAUCUCUGACGUUAAUAAACAAACGUUAGAGAAUGAACGUCAUUUUAAGAAAAUAUCAACAAGCGAUAGGAAUGAAACGUCAAACAUCAAUAGUUAGAAAUGAAACGACUUUAAAAAAAAUCUUAAACAAUAACAAUUAGAAAUGUCAAAUGGUUGAAAGAAAUGAUAAAUGUCAAACGAUAGAGAAAAAAAUGCCAAACAUUAGAAAAAACAAAUGCCUAACUUAAGAAUAGAGUCAAUAAAAGAUAGAGAAAGAAUGUCAAAAUUAAAAAAAAAAUGAACAAGCGUUUGAAAUGAAACGUUAAAGGAGAAAUGUCAAAUUUUAUAAAAAGAAAGAUGACCCAAGGGUCAAUUGUUAAAAGAGAAAUGUCAAACGUUGAAAAAAGGAACGUCAAACUUUAAAACUACUGAAACAAAUUGUCUAAAACUGUUAAUUCGAAUGCAAUCAUCGUUAAUUGGUUUAGUAAUCAAUGCAAAUUUUUACAAAAUUUUACUCCUAAGUCCUUAUUCUAGAUGCAUUUUUACUAUUUUAAAUUGAAUAAAUUUUCUGACUACGCCCCUGUCAAUAGAGAAAUAAGGGGGCUUUGUGAGAUAAAAAUGAAUACUUUUGAGGGCUUUUUUCCCUUUAAAUAUCUAUGUAUCUUCUUAAUUUAGAAAAAAAAUUCAUUUCCUGUACAUAAUAAAAGCCAAAUGUCUUUUUUUAUUAACAAUCCCAUUCUUCGUCAUUUUAUUAUUUUACCCGAGAAAGAGAUAUCAAAAUGAAUGAAUAUAAGACGAAGAAAAAAAAAAAGAAAAUAAAAUACUCUCAUAGCAAUGUUUGGCCCAUGACCUGUGAGAAUGAAGAGCAUAAAAUGUAGAAAAAUCUUUAUAUUUUUUUUUAAAGGGAUAUAAGAAAUUUACAGCAUUAUAUAUCGCAUAGUAAAAGAGAGGAGAGAAAAUAAUUUAGCGAGAGAGCGAGAGCGCUGUAAAAUGUAAUGAUGUAAGUUCAAGAAAAGGGCGAAAAAUCGAUACAAGUGUCUGGGAGUUUAAUUUUAAUUUUUUUUUUGUUAUUUUGUAUUUGAAAAAUAUCCCAGAACUAAUUUCACAACUUUACACAAGAAAUUUUAUAAUCUUUUCACAUUUCCUCUUUUUGUUUCUUGUCCUCCCUCGCAUAUCUUGCAGCAUAAUAUUUUAUUUUUUCAACUUUUUCACGAUUUAUUUUCUCAACAAUGUUUUAUUUCCAACUUCUUUUCAUUUUCCCGCAUUUUGAGCCUGUGUGUGUCACGUUAUGUUUGCAUAAGUCAUUAUGUACUUUUCAUUUACAAUAUAUACACAACAUAUAUGUAGAUAUAUUGUAUAAAAGCCAUCCAAUAACAAAAACUAAAAUGUAGAAUGAGAAGAGAGGAAACAGAGAAAUAAAUAAAAAGAAAAAUAAUGUUUAUUACAGUCGCAGUUAAAUUCAAUUAUAACUUAUAUACUACGCCAUAGAUAUAUUAUUAUUACAUUUGUAGAGGCAAUAGAAGAGAAAAUAUUAAAAGCGUCGUCAUGAUGUAUAUUGGGGGAAAAAUAUAAAAUGGGAAAUACAAAAAAAAAAGAACAAAGAUCUUUUUUAUUAUAAAUUUACAUUAUUUAACUCGAAAAAAAACCAACAAGCCACAUGGGUAGAAUGAAAAUGUCGACAAAGUUGAAUAAAAGGCAUGAAAUAGAGGUGAUAGGUACACCGAAAGUCUUGAACAACAACAAAAAAUAACUAAAUAAAACACAAAACUCAGCAGAAUAAAUAAAAUUCUGUCUUCAACAUUUUUUUUCCAGCUUACAUUAUUAUUUAUAAAAAGGCACAAAAAAAUUCUUUAUGGUGGAAGCGCAUAAACCUUUUAUAAUGGUAAAAUGAAAUAUAAGUUUAAAAAAAAAACGAAGAAUAUAAAGAUGGGAAAAGAGGCAACAUCAGGAAUGUUGCUUGGAACUCUCAAUCUAAAUAUAAUCGACAGCCACUUUUCUCUUUUUGCCUCUCUUCUCCAUUCUAUAUAUUAAAUCGUAAUUAUUGUCUACAAAAGAGUUGGAAAGUAAAUGAAAAAAAAUUGUAAAUAAAAGAGAUAUAUAGAGAGAGAAAAUUUUCAAUGUAUGAGAAAUAAUAAUGAAAAAAAAAGAUGGAAUUUGAAUUGGUUGAAGAACACGCUAAUUAGUUUAAUGUGUUUUAAAUAAUUAUACUUUUUUUUUUAGUAAAUUAGUAUAUUUCUUUAUUUAUUUUUUCUUAUAUAUUCGAUUUUUAUUUAAAAGUAAUUUUCUUUAUGUUAUUUCAUUCUUAAGUUUAAAGAAAAAUAGAAUUAGAAAAGAAUUUACAAAGAAAAAUCAAGAAAUGGGGGUAAGUCGGCUUAUUUUUAGCAUUAAUCAAUGUAUCAGAAGUUGUGAAUUUAUUACCUCCUUUUUAUGCUUCAAACUUGGAUGAAAUUUAACGAUUGAUUUUUUUACUAAAUGUUCAAUAAAUAAAACAAAUUGAACUCUACAACUGCAGCAAAAAAUAUUAAUUAAUUUUCCAAAUAAUGGGCCUUAUUCAGCGACCAAGUAACCCUUAAGAUCUUUAAAUUUUGUACUGAAAUUUCAAGAUUUCAAGCGAAUUUCAAAGGUUUCUUGGUCUUAAUAAGGCCUAAUAUUUAAUUUAUAUUUUGCGGUAAAAAGAUUUGUUUAGGAAUAUUAAAGUUUGUUUACAAAGAAUUUGCUGAUAAAAUUGUGGAGCUUGCUGACAGAAUAGAAAAUAUUGCUUAUAAAAUUUAAGAACUUGCUGACAAAGUUGAGGAACUUGCUGACAAAGUUAAGGAACUUGCUUAUAGAAAAGGAAAAUUUUCUGGCAAAAUUACAGAACUUACUGACAGAAUAGAAUAAUUUAUUGUCAAAAUUUAAGAACUUUCUGAAAGAUUAGAAAAGUUUCCUGCUGACAAAAUUGAGGAAUUUGCCAAUAUAAUUAGCUUAUAGCGCUUACAGAAUAAAAAAAUGUAUGCUCACAAAAUGGAAAAACGCUGAAAUCGCUCUAAAAAUAAUUAAAACAUUUUUCUAGCUGUAUAAUAAAAUGUUCAAACUUCAUAAGACCCUAAUUUCAAACUGGAAGGAAUUUCUGGUAUUCGGUCCUAUUCAGCGGCCAAGAAAUCCAUAAAACUUCUGAAAUUAAAAAAAAAAUAUCAAAUAAAAUGUAAAGCUUACAGAAUAAGAAAAUUUAAUAUAACAGAAUAAAAAUUA